UCUGGUGAUGAUGGCGAAGUGGACACACCUGUUCCCAUACCGAACACAGAAGUUAAGCACUUCAGCGCCGAUGGUAGUAUUCACAUGCGAGAGUAGGACGUUGCCAGGC
rnacentral:rRNA from 1 species